rnacentral:rRNA from 1 species
GACGGAGGGUGCAAGCGUUGUUCGGAUUGACUGGGCGUAAAGGGCGUGUAGGCGGUUGGUCAAGUCGGGUGUGAAAGCCUGGGGCUCAGCCCCAGAAGUGCAUCCGAAACUAGCCAGCUAGAGCGCGAUAGAGGAGGGUGGAAUUCCUGGUGUAGCGGUGAAAUGCGUAGAUAUCUGCAGGAACACCCGUGGCGAAAGCGGCGCGCUGGACCACAACUGACGCUGAGGAACGAAAGCUAGGGGAGCAAACAG